GAGGGGGAACGGAGCUCGGUGGUGUCGCUGCCGUCUCCACCCGCCCGGAACUCUGGGCCGCCCACGUUUCCACCCGGAACGUUUUUAGCUUUGGUUUGGUGUCUUUCCAUACAUCUAUUCCUGGUGCAGCAUAAUGGAGGAGCUUCUUGCAGUGAUGGUGAUGGGUCAGCAAGGCAUGGGAAUGAAAUCUUACCUCUUUUCUGACAGUUUUAAUUCGAAUCCUUCAGUUUCCACACCUGGGAUAAUUGACUUUAUCAAUGAAUUUGCCUCUGGAAGUGCUACAGAUGGAAAGGAAUGAGGCUUCCAUAGCCAAAACCAAGCAGGGGUACAGCCAUAGAGACAGCAGCCCACUGGACUUCUGACCCAACUACAGCCCCUGCUGGACAGCCCAAGAGCUGAGCAGGAGCUGGCCUGAAGGAGAGGCCCAUAUGUUGUAUGGGAUUGUAUAGUGACACUGCACCAGCUUGUCUGAGCCCAUUGAGCCCCCAUAAUUUGCCAGCUAACACCCUUCCUUGUCCCUCAAUGCAUUGGGAGCAGCCUCUAAGACUCCCAGGCUUCUGAGCUUCCAAGGUUCUGAGCUUCCAAACUCUCCCAGCUCUGCAAUAAUGAUCCUUAUUCAUUUGGUAACAAGAAGCAUCAUCUCUCAAUGAGCAAAACAAGGAGGUUUUCUGCUUCUGGAGCUUCAGACAUUGAUCAUCAGCACAAGAAAUAACCAGUGUGUUCAGAACAGCACAGGGUCCCAAAGCAAAGCUAAAUGACAAGCACCUCUACAACGCUUUGCAUCACAGAUAUAAAGGGGGAUUAAAGCCAGGCCCUGACUGAGUGCAAUGACUCGCCUGGAUUUGCUGGGGGACGUUGGGAUAAAGCAGUAGAGUGCCAUAAAGAGGAUAAAGGAUUGGAGUCGGCGAGGAUAAAGGCGGAGGAACAGAUGGUGAGCAUUGCCAAGACUGGAGAAGUGAGCUCAAGACAUGGGAUAGCAUUCAUUUCAGCAGCAAACAGAAACAUAUGACAACAGAGAGCACAAGGAUUUGGGACACAAAGUCCUUUCAGCUUCACUUGGCCUUGACCAGUUUGGCUUUGGAUUGACUUGAGACAUCUUCAAGGUGAUGAAAAGAGCUUUAAAACUCACUUGGAAGAGCUUUUCUUGCCUUAAAACUCACUGGAGCUUUUCACAUAUUGCAUGGAGCAACCAAUUAACUCCAUAUAAUUGAUGUAUAUGUGGCCUUUCCAACAGGAUUUGGAUUCGCUUUUGGACCCAAAAGCACCUAUGGUCAUUUUGUUCUGUUCCCACCCCCGUAUCACUAUUAAAAGCAGAAGCACAACAAGAUUAUGAACAAAUAACGAGGUGAAAUAAACCAUCAUAAUUAAUUACACUUAUUUUCCAAGGGCAAUAGGAAACCACAGGCCAGAGCUGAAUAGAUACAGAUAUGAUUCCCAAGUCAAAAGAGAUGCUUGUAUUUACAGGACAGGGAUUGUGAUGCAAAUAGAUUCCUAUUUUCCUAUAUUAAGAAUG